AGGCCGUUGUUUGCAUAAAACCAAGUUGUUAAAAGAUUUGAGUUGAGUUAAAACAUACUUUUACCGUCAAAAUAUUAAAACUCUGCAAACAUUUGACUUUAAAAAUCUUUUGAAGUGACUAAUUUCCUCUAUUAUUUUUCUUUUGUCAACUUUUCAAGCUUUACAUGGUUGAAAUGCUGUUUUUUUCCAUUUAGCAACACAUCAUUGGUUUAUUUCCUGAUAUGUUGCUGCUGUCUGCUUUCAUGGUUUGAUUGUGACAGAGAUGGGUUUCCUUUUUUGGGCAUCUUUUUCCUUCCUCUUCCUUCCUGCUGCCUUCUUUCAGUCAAGCUGAUUCUCUGCUGGCAGGCAGCAGCUGGCAGAGACUUCAAACACACACACAGUAUCUGGACGUUGUCCAGGGUCGUAAUGCAGUCGUUUUUUGUUUUUUUUUUCCAGACACUAACCCACAGUGUCAGCCACUGUGAGAAUGCGUGCGUGUGUGUUCAGAUGGUCUUGGCUGUUGUCCACCUUGCUGUCACCGACUCUCAUCUUAUCAUUUAAACUCCUGGAUGGCUCUAUAUCCUUCCACUUCUUUACCCCUGUGACAAAACUGACUAGGGCGUGUCUUCCAUAGAGGUCUUUCAAUGGCUUUUCUCUCCUUGCUAACAAAUUUGUGAUCUGGACCAGGUCUGAAGUAUUUUGUUUUGUCUUGUACUGUUCUGUUAAGUGUUGAAUAUUUAUUCUACUGCAGUGUGUUAAUUAGCUGCUCCAGCAUUCAGGUCAACAUGUUUUAGGAUCUUGUAAUCAGCGGAGACUGCUAUGGAUCAGGAUCAGUGUGAUUCUAUAUGGUUUGAAUUAUUGACCUUUAUUUGCUUUUGAAGACAAAAGCAUAUAAGUACAAAAAUAUUGUGAAUGCCACGAGAUUAACAGGUCUUAGAGUUAGUUACUGAAGACUUGAAGGAUUUUAAACAUCUAAAAUUGAAUGCAUAACCAAAGCCUACACGAUUUAGUAAUAUUUCAUAUUGCAUGUUGCUCAUUUUUCAGUUUAGCUUUUUAUCAGGAUUAAACUGAACAAACACACAGCAUCUCAGCUGUUGAAUUUCAAGUUUCUAUCAUCAUCAUCAGUUCUACUUCACUAGUAUGAUCUGGGUGAAAUGCUGCUUUCUUGAUUGAAUAUAUACAGGCAUGCAGGGAUAAAGGAAGAUAGGAUGUCUCUGAGUCUGAGCCCCUGUUUACUGUAGAGUGACUGUCAUCAGUUUUCAUAGAGAGACACAUCAAGCAACUACAAAGAAAUGUGAAAUUACAUCAAAAAGGAACAAAGGGACCAAAAAAAACCAGGAGCCAAAAGUCCACAAACGGAAAACUAAUCCAAUACAAAGAGACACACAUCAAUCACAAAGAGACCCAAAAAACACAGUAGCAGCAAAAAUUACAAAAUCUCCAAAACAGAGACACAGAAGUGAGACCUCAAGCAGCUACAAAGAGAUGCAAAAUGACCAGAAUGAAUUGUAGAUUCAGAAGAACAGCCAUAAUUACCACAAGGUAACAAAAAAUAAAUAAAAAAUCACAGACACUCAAAAUGACCACAAAGAAGCACACCAACUGCAGAGAGUUGUAAACAGACCAUAAAAGUGUAAACACACAAUAAAAAGAGACAAGUACAAAAAAAUGUAAAAUGACCGCAAAAAGGUGACAAUCCACACCAGGGAAAAAGAAUCAAAUGCAAGAAAUGCUAAAAAAAACAACAACCACAAAGACACAAAAUGACGAGUGAAAAUCGUGAAGAAGAUUGAUAAUCCACAACCUGAGGAAGAAAGAAGAAAUCAAGCACAUGUCAACAAACACACCUGCCUACGAUACUGUAAGCAAAAACCAAUGCGACCAAAAACAACCAUAUGACCACAAACAAGUGGAAAUUCACAAAAAUGAGCAAGAAAUCAAACAAAAGGUGACAAAUCAGUAAAAAUUCACAGCAAAAGGAAAGAACAAAAGAUUCACGUUCACCACAAAAAGAUACCAAACUAGUGUGAAGAGAUAGACUGACCACAAUGACAGACAAAAAAAAAUCCUACAUGACAGGAAAGGGGUUAAAACACAAAACAGUAAAUAACAGUAAAUGAUAAAUAUUCAUCAAUCACAAAGAGAUAAAACACAUUUCAGUCUGGCCAACUUGCUCCAAGCAGGGAGCGAGGUCUCAUAUCUCUGCCUGUCUAAAGGACUUGACAUGCCUGACAGCAUGUAAGUUCAGCGUUUGGAUAAUCUUUGUAGAAAUGCACAAGUAUUGUUCUUAGAAAAGCUCUUAACCUGUGUAAUCAAUAUAUACAAUAUAUCAAAUGCAUUUAUCUGAUUUUAAAUUGCUGUCAAGACUGCUCAUUAUCACUCUCUCUACAGUCCUUUUAUUUUACUUGUUUUUUCAGAGUCUUUGCUUCUGACAUAUUUUAAGUGUCAGGAAAUAAAAUCAGUGAGGAGAGAAAUCAGAUGCA
ensembl:lncRNA